GACGGAGGGUGCUAGCGUUGUUCGGAAUGACUGGGCGUAAAGGGCGCGUAGGCGGCUCGUGAAGUCGGGUGUGAAAGCCCGGGGCUCAACCCCGGAACGGCAUCCGAUACUGGAGAUCUUGAGUCCGGGAGAGGUGAGUGGAACUGCGAGUGUAGAGGUGAAAUUCGUAGAUAUUCGCAAGAACACCGGUGGCGAAGGCGGCUCACUGGCCCGGAACUGACGCUGAGACGCGAAAGCGUGGGGAGCAAACAGG
rnacentral:rRNA from 1 species